CCAGUGCUGAUGGCCCCGUGGGUCAGGGCCCCGGCAGGGAGGACGUGCGCACUCCGGCUUCGACGCAGGGACCGGCUGCAGAGGCGGGUCGGGAAGCAGAAAGCCCAAGGGAGCCCCAGGCAGGGGUGUUACCCUUCCAGACCUGUUCCUGAAGUCCAGGGCAGCCUUUGCAGUAGCCGAGAACCCCUCCGCCCGCCUGCCCAUCUUGUCCGGGAAGGCCUGUCUGUACCCCCAGUGCCAGCCCCCCGCCCACUCCCUCCUUCUCAGGCGGGCUGGAACCAGCUCUCCGUGCUCCCUCCCCACCUGCGGGGCCUGAGUCCAAGUGCCGGAAGCCUACUCAGGUCUGCCCUUGAGGCCUUCCCUCAGGGCGCACGCGGGACAGGGUUGGGCUGGGCUCACCUCCACCCACCCACGAAGUGCCUACCUGGUCUGGAGACAGGAUUUGGGAACCUGCCUUCUCACUCGCUUGGGAAGGGUGGGCAGUGUGGGCCUUGAUAGCUCCAAAUCGUGGCUGCUGGCACUCCCUCACCCAGCUCUCCUCUGCCUUGGGGAUGUCGGUUUCCAAGCCCUCUGCAGUUGCAAUCUUUUCUGGAAGGCUUCCUGGAAGAGGGGACUCCUUCGAGGAUAGAGGCUGCUUUAGUCAGGGUUCCUGAUGCAACAGCAUGGACGGAAGUCCAGAGGGGACCGAGAGGCUGCUGUGGAGCACCACCGUGACCGUGAUUUUUCAGGGCGCCUGGGUAGCUCAGUCGGCUGAGCAUCUGCCUUCGGCUCAGGCUGUGAUCUCACUGCUCACGAGUUCGAGCCCUGUGUUGGGUGAGCUCGAGUCCACUCCAGGCUCGGCAUUCUCUCUCCCUGUCUCUGUGCCCCUCACUCGCUCGUGCUCUCUCUCUCUCUCUCACUCAGAAAUAAACGAAUAAAUUUUAAAAAAUUUAUAGAAAAA